CCUCCUCUCCACAACAACAGAAAAAUUGAGUUUGAAUAAACAGAUCAAGUAAUGAAAAAGCUCACGCCACUGCGACCAUAUACAAACACAUUUGACCAGUCUAACAUUGCAAAAUAUAGCUUGAAAAUUAGAAUGUCUUCUAACGCUCUAGCCCAACAAAUGAAGGUGGAAGGAGAUUGCUGCAAUACCAUAGCUGAGAGGGAGGAAGGUCUAAUUGUUGUGGACCAGAGUAUUUACUCUGUCACACGGUUUAUGAGCGGAGAGGCGUGAGCAGGCUUCACAGUCAUGACACCCAGAUCAUCGAUGCCAUAGCAGACCUCACGCUAGCCUCAGCAGGCCUCUAACCUGCAUGUUGUACAAACAGCGUUAUGUGCCUCAAGAAAUUGUAACAAACAGGCCAAAAAAAUAAAAUGGGCAACUGACCGAGUGAAUGCGAUAUGUUUCAUAUUUCACACUUUUUACCUUGCAGAAUAAACCAUAAAGACCUUUCAGGCAAUCUUUUCUUGUAACUAUGGCAUUCUCACAAAGAAAACCUUGGCCUUCAACAGCUCCUCUAUAAUAACAACAGCAUCAGCCUACAUGUUUAGCAAUGUUAUGUGCAUUUAAGAGAUCUUCAAUUGUUCAACAACAAUAAUGACACUAAACAGAGGUAAACCUGAUCUGAAGCGACACAUACAGGGGCAAAAACACAGCAUAAAAGUUCAUCUCCUCCAGCAAGAAUCCUAAAAAGAAAAUAAUUGUUCAACAACAAUAAUGGCACUAAACAGAGGUAAACCUGAUCUGAAGCGAGGCAUACAGGGCAAAAAAACUCACCAUAAAAGUUCGUCUCCUCCGGCAAGAAUCCUAAAAAGAAAGUAAUUCUUAAUUUCCAAAGGCACCAAUAGGAUACAGGAAAAAAACACAUGCUAAAACACUGCCACUAAGCUAUGAACACUGCCAUCCAAAAGUACAGCUAGGCCAAUCAGUAAAUGUAAUCAUGUUACAGCAAUUAUUUGUCUGCAUACGAAAUAACGAUCAUCUUGGAGCGGCCUCAAGGAAUAGCAACACGCAACAAAACAACAGAUAUUAAGGCAUACAUCUCAACUGCUUUCAACUUAGUAAAUGAUGUAAAACUAACCAUGACACUGAAGCAACAAAAAAGUAUUAGCUUUGUUACUUGACAUGCAACCAACAAAAGUUAAUUUUUCAGAGUGAAAAAAUGUACUAAGCGCAAAGCAUGAAUAAGAAAAUUGUGUUACUGUGGUAAUCAGUAGACACCUGAAAAGUAGUUAUCCAACCAAUUAGAUAAAAGACCUUGAUUUCGGUAUACCUGCAAUCAAACCUUUCAUAAACAAUUGUUUGUUCUUGGUCUCCACCAUAAGCUAUAACCAAAUUGAUAACAAACCUCUAUAGCUAACUAUUUCUGUGAUAUAAUAUUAACAAACUUUAACCAUGGCACAAAUAUAUAUAAAUGUGAUGAGCAAUAAAAAGGAAAGACCAAAAAUGUAAACUUCAUGGAUUGGAACCUUAAGUCAAUAAACUAAUCUCCAACAGUGCUAACUGAUGCCAAUAAAUUUACUACCAGUAUUUUCACCCCUCAAGAAACCCCCAAACAUUUAAUAGAAGCAUCAAAUUAGUCAUCUAGUACCCAAAAAGAGGUCACCCUAAUUAGCAAGGAGAUGCAUGGCAAGGGGCACGUACAUGGCAGAGAUGAAGAUGCAGGUGCUGUGGCAGAGGCGUCCUUGUCCACCACACCCUAAACACAGUCACUGUUAGACCCCCGAGCUAGGAAGCAGCAAGCAGCACAUGUGCACAAAGGACACCCAAAGAACUAACCUAAAUAGGUACUGCAGCGCACUAAAAAAUGA
rnacentral:lncRNA from 1 species